rnacentral:rRNA from 1 species
UCUGGGCUGUAAACCUCUUUUAUCAAGGAAGAAGAUCUGACGGUACUUGAUGAAUAAGCCACGGCUAAUUCCGUGCCAGCAGCCGCGGUAAUACGGGAGUGGCAAGCGUUAUCCGGAAUUAUUGGGCGUAAAGCGUCCGCAGGCGGUUUUGAAAGUCUGUUGUUAAAGCGUGGAGCUUAACUCCAUUUCAGCAAUGGAAACUACAAGACUAGAGUGUGGUAGGGGCAGAGGGAAUUCCCGGUGUAGCGGUGAAAUGCGUAGAUAUCGGGAAGAACACCAGUGGCGAAGGCGCUCUGCUGGGCCAUAACUGACGCUCAUGGACGAAAGCCAGGGGAGCGAAAGGGAUUA